UGCAAAUCAAAUAAUUUUUUGAUAUAACUAAAAUACCCUCAAAUUAACCUAAUUAACAAUUGAAAAUAUAUAGUAAAAGAUUUUUAAAUAUAAACAAAAUAAAAAACAAAGUUUUAAUUAAUUUUAAAUUAUAUAUAAUAUUAGUACAAAGUUAUUUUCUUCUCUCUCUCUUCUCUUAUCUCUCUUCUCUCCCUAACGAGCUGACCUUAGAAAAUCCAUGGAUGUAGAACAACAACAGUGGAGCUUCAUUCUCGAAGACAGGGAGGUCAAUCCAUGCCUUUGUGGGGUCCAAACACAAAUUGAUCUGGGGCAGUGCGGUCUUCAGCAAUGAGGAAGAGAGAUCGAGCAAUGAUGACUAGUGCAAAGCUUCCAUGGGUGCAAAGGCAUGGACAUAUCCAUUUUCCUCAUCGUCACCGCAACAAAGAAGAAUGUCGACACGUUUGGGCUCUUUGACAGAGCUGCUGGGCGGAGCAUCGACAUGACGAUGUUAGGGCAGAGUAAGUCAGUCGCAAGGGGGGCAGGGGUUGUAGCUCAUUGGCUUGCAGGGUCAGGUGAGAUCUUCGACGAUAAAUCUAGGCUCGGAGAUAAAGAAUAUGAAGAACACAAGAUAGAAGAAAUGAGGAAGAGAGAUAAGAGAGAGAAAAUAAUUAUUUAUUUGUAUUGGUGCUUUUAUUUUUUUAAAAUAUUUUUUAUAGUUUCAAAAUUAAUUUUAAAAAUUUGUCUUAAAAAUACAUUAAUUUUUUACAAAUUUUAUAAGUUGGACUAAUGAAAAUAUGACACAUGGUAGUGUAUUUUUUAAAAUUGAUAAUAAUUUAAAUUUUGAGGGUAUUUGAGUCA